AUGCGGGCUCCGAACUCAGGGAUAAAGAGAGACAGACUAGUCAUCCCCGAGAGGCAGGGGUUUUGAUUUCCUCUGCAUGCCUGUCUUCCACCUGAGUUUCAAGAGGGAGUUCACUCAGGAACCUGCUAACAAUCGGCCUGGCCCCCAGACACAAUCAGAUCUACUGCUGUCAGGAAGGGACUCAAAAGUGGAGAAGAUCCGCAGGAACUCCGAGGCGGCCAUGUUACAGGAGCUGAAUUUUGGGGCAUAUUUGGGUCUUCCAGCUUUCCUGCUGCCCCUAAAUCAGGAAGAUAACACAAACUUGGCCAGGGUUUCGACCAACCACAUCCACACUGGCCACCACUCAUCCAUGUUCUGGAUGCGGGUACCCUUGGUGGCUCCAGAGGACCUUAGAGAUGAUAGCAUUGAGAAUGCACCAAAUACACACACAGAGGAGUAUAGUGGAGAGGAGAAGACAUGGCACAACUUCCGGACCUUGUGUGACUAUAGCAAGAGGAUUGCAGUGGCUCUUGAAAUUGGGGCUGACCUCCCAUCUAAUCAUGUCAUCGAUCGUUGGCUUGGGGAGCCCAUCAAAGCAGCCAUUCUCCCCACCAGCAUUUUCCUGACCAAUAAGAAGGGAUUUCCUGUUCUUUCUAAGAUGCACCAGAGGCUGAUCUUCCGGCUCCUCAAGUUGGAAGUGCAGUUCAUCAUCACAGGCACCAAUCACCACUCAGAGAAGGAGUUCUGCUCUUACCUCCAGUACCUGGAAUACUUGAGUCAGAACCGCCAUCCACCCAAUGCCGAUGAACUCUUUGCCAAGGGCUAUGAAGACUAUCUGCAGUCCCCACUCCAGCCACUGAUGGACAAUCUGGAAUCUCAGACAUAUGAAAUGUUUGAAAAGGACCCCAUCAAAUACUCUCAGUAUCAGCAGGCCAUCUAUAAAUGUCUGUUUGAUCGAGUGCCAGAUGAAGAGAAGGAUACCAAUGUGCAGGUGCUAAUGGUACUGGGAGCAGGCUGGGGUCCCCUGGUGAACGCUUCCCUGUGGGCAGCCAAGCAGGCUGACCGUCGGAUAAAGCUGUACGCUGUGGAGAAGAACCCAAAUGCUGUGGUGAUGCUAGAAAACUGGCAGCUUGAAGAAUGGGGAAGCCAGGUGACGGUAGUCUCAUUGGACAUGCGGGAAUGGGUGGCUCCAGAGAAAGCAGACAUCAUCGUCAGGGAGCUUCUAGGCUCCUUUGCUGACAACAAACUGUCAUCUGAGUGCCUGGAUGGAGCCCAACACUUCCUAAAAGAUGACAGUGUGGGCAUCCCUGGGGAGUACACUUCCUUUCUGGCUCCCAUCUCCUCCUCCAAGCUGUACAAUGAGGUCCAAGCCUGUUGGGAAAAGGACUGAGACCCUGAGGCCCAGUUUGAGAUGCCUUACAUGGUGCGGCUACAACUUCCACCAGCUAUCUGCGCUCCAGCCCCGUUUCACCUUCAGCCAUCCCAAGAGAGAUCCUCUGAUUGACAACAACUGCUACUGUACCUUGGAGUUUCCCGUGGAGGUGAACACAGGGCUACAUGGCUUUGCAGGCUACUUUGAGACUGUGCUUUAUCAGGACAUCACCCUGAGUAUCCAUCCAGAGACUCACUCUCCUGGGAUGUUCUCAUGGUUUCCCGUCCUCUUCCCCAUUAAGCAGCCCAUUACAGUACAUGAAGGCCAGACCAUCUGUGUGCAUUUCUGGCGGUGCAGCAAUUCCAAGAAGGUGUGGUAUGAGUGGGCUGUGACAGCACCAGUCUGUUCCGCUAUUCACAACCCCACAGGCUGCUCAUACACCAUCGACCUCUAGCCCUGCCCGCAAGUGUUCAGAGCCUUGGAAGCAGCUUCAAGUUCUGCUCCUGUGGCAUAGAAAGUGCAGUACAUCUGUGGGCUGUGAUUCCCCUUGCCCAUCAGAGUGGAGUAUUUCAGUCUGCUUUCCUGCCUUACAUCAAGGUGGGCAAAGGAGGAGAAUUAAUUGCAGGGCUCAAGCCACCAAUCUGUGAAGACUUCAGGUCAGGGUGGGAGGAAUUAGUGCUGGAUCUGAAGCUACUCCAACAGGCACUCAGCCUCAAGCGCUCCCUGGAAUAGGCCCGAGAACAUGUGGAUUGAACACAUUUUCAGCCCUUUCCCUGCCCAUCUCUGUUCCUGUUAUGAUGGU